GUGCCAGCCGCCGCGGUAAUACGUAGGGUGCGAGCGUUGUCCGGAAUUACUGGGCGUAAAGAGCUCGUAGGUGGUUUGUCGCGUUGUUCGUGAAAACUCACAGCUUAACUGUGGGCGUGCGGGCGAUACGGGCAGACUAGAGUACUGCAGGGGAGACUGGAAUUCCUGGUGUAGCGGUGGAAUGCGCAGAUAUCAGGAGGAACACCGGUGGCGAAGGCGGGUCUCUGGGCAGUAACUGACGCUGAGGAGCGAAAGCGUGGGGAGCGAACAGGAUUAGAUACCCUGGUAGUCCACGCCGUAAACGGUGGGUACUAGGUGUGGGUUCCUUCCUUGGGAUCCGUGCCGUAGCUAACGCAUUAAGUACCCCGCCUGGGGAGUACGGCCGCAAGGCUAAAACUCAAAGGAAUUGACGGGGGCCCGCACAAGCGGCGGAGCAUGUGGAUUAAUUCGAUGCAACGCGAAGAACCUUACCUGGGUUUGACAUGCACAGGACGCCGGCAGAAUGUCGUUCCUUGUGGCUGUGUGCAGUAGAGCAUGAGGGCGAUUCG
rnacentral:rRNA from 1 species